GUUAAGCGACUAAGCGUACACGGUGGAUGCCCUGGCAGUCAGAGGCGAUGAAGGACGUGCUAAUCUGCGAUAAGCGUCGGUAAGGUGAUAUGAACCGUUAUAACCGGCGAUUUCCGAAUGGGGAAACCCAGUGUGAUUCGUCACACUAUCAUUAACUGAAUCCAUAGGUUAAUGAGGCGAACCGGGGGAACUGAAACAUCUAAGUACCCCGAGGAAAAGAAAUCAACCGAGAUUCCCCCAGUAGCGGCGAGCGAACGGGGAGCAGCCCAGAGCCUGAAUCAGUGUGUGUGUUAGUGGAAGCGUCUGGAAAGGCGCGCGAUACAGGGUGACAGCCCCGUACACAAAAAUGCACAUGCUGUGAGCUCGAUGAGUAGGGCGGGACACG
rnacentral:rRNA from 1 species